UACGUAGGUGGCAAGCGUUGUCCGGAUUUACUGGGCGUAAAGAGCGCGCAGGCGGCUGGUCAAGUCCGAUGUGAAAAGCUCCCGGCUUAACUGGGAAACGGCAUCGGAAACUGAUCGGCUUGAAGGUGGGAGAGGGUAGUGGAAUUCCCGGUGUAGUGGUGAAAUGCGUAGAUAUCGGGAGGAACACCAGUGGCGAAGGCGACUACCGUGCCCACUCGUUGACGCUGAGGCGCGAAAGCUAGGGGAGCAAA
rnacentral:rRNA from 1 species